rnacentral:misc_RNA from 1 species
AACGCACAUUGCGCCCUCUGGUAUUCCGGGGGGCAUGCCUGUUCGAGCGUCAUUAUAACCACUCAAGCUCUCGCUUGGUAUUGGGGUUCGCGGUUUCGCGGCCUCUAAACUCAGUGGCGGUGCCUGUCGGCUCUACGCGUAGUAAUACUCCUCGCGAUUGAGUCCGGUAGGUUUACUUGCCAACAACCCCCAAUUUUUUACAGGUUGACCUCGGAUCAGGUAGGGAUACCCGCUGAACUUAA